rnacentral:rRNA from 1 species
CCUACGGGUGGCAGCAGUGGGGAAUAUUGCACAAUGGGGGAAACCCUGAUGCAGCGACGCCGCGUGAAGGAAGAAGUAUUUCGGUAUGUAAACUUCUAUCAUCAGGGAAGAAAAUGACGGUAUCUGACAAAGAAGCACCGGCUAAAUACGUGCCAGCAGCCGCGGUGAUAAGUAGGGGGCAAGCGUUAUCCGGAUUUACUGGGUGUAAAGGGUGCGUAGGCGGGUGUGCAAUGCAGAAGUGAAAGCCCGGGGGUUAACUCUGGGACUGCUUUUGAAACUGUGUUGCUAGAGUGCAGGAGAGGUAAGUGGAAUUCCUAGUGUAGCGGUGAAAUGCGUAGAUAUUAGGAGGAACACCAGUGGCGAAGGCGGCUUACUGGACUGUAAAUGACGCUGAGGCUCGAAAGCGUGGGGAGCAAACAGGAUUAGAUACCCGAGUAGUC